rnacentral:rRNA from 1 species
ACGGCGAGUGAAGCGGUAACAGCUCAAAUUUGAAAUCUGGCCUCACGGUCCGAGUUGUAAUUUGUAGAGGAUGCUUCGAGCAUGGUCUGGCCUAAGUUCCUUGGAACAGGACGUCAUAGAGGGUGAGAAUCCCGUAUGCGGCCAGGUGCCUACGCUCAUGUGAAGCUCCUUCGACGAGUCGAGUUGUUUGGGAAUGCAGCUCAAAAUGGGUGGUAAAUUUCAUCUAAAGCUAAAUAUUGGCCAGAGACCGAUAGCGCACAAGUAGAGUGAUCGAAAGAUGAAAAGCACUUUGGAAAGAGAGUUAAACAGUACGUGAAAUUGUUGAAAGGGAAGCGCUUGCAACCAGACUUGCGCGCGGCCGAUCAUCCGGUGUUCUCACCGGUGCACUCGGCCGUGCUCAGGCCAGCAUCGGUUUUGGCGGCUGGAUAAAGGCCCUAGGAAUGUAGCUCCUCUCGGGGAGUGUUAUAGCCUAGGGUGAAAUGCAGCCUGCUGGGACCGAGGACCGCGCUUCGGCUAGGAUGCUGGCGUAAUGGUUGUAAGCGGCCCGUCUUGAAACACGGACCAAGGAGUCUAACAUCUAUGCGAGUGUUUGGGUGUCAAACCCAUACGCGUAAUGAAAGUGAACGGAGGUGAGAACCCUUAAGGGUGCAUCAUCGACCGGUCCUGAAGUUUACGGAAGGAUCUGAGUAAGAGCAUAGCUGUUGGGACCC